UUAAAUUGGAUGCGCUCCGCCAAAGCAAUCCAAAAGAAGAAAUAUUUUUGUCCUCGUCUGAGGCGGCAAACGAGCAAAUUGGAGCUCCUUUUUUAAAAACUUUUGUUAAAACCUUACAUGUUGCUAUGUAUUGACUAAAGGAGAUGAUUCGCAUGGGUGGAAAUUACCGAAACGAAUGUGGUUCAGCAUAUCUCAAUGAGUCCGGUGUCCUUGAAGUCAAGAGAUGCAUGCUGACAAUAAAGUGGGUCGGCAACUCAUCGUGUCCGAUGUCCUUGAUGAUCUCACAUGAUGGGGCGUCUUGAGACCAGAUACAUGACGACAAUGAAGGGGCAAAGCAUAGAAAUAUAUUGACCGAUUCUAUUUCUGUUAGAAAUAGAUCCCUCUCACCUCUGCUGUAAUUAGCCUACCUGGUAAGUAGGCUAUAUUGGCUUGGCCUAUAGUGCAUCUGUCCCAAAUGACUCCCUAUUUGAUGCAGUGCUUUUGACCUGAGCCCAUAUGGCUCUGGUCAUAAGUGAACUACAUAGGGAAUAAUGUGUUCUGGACGUGCAUGCUUUUGAUAAUCUGGUCUUGGGCAGGUGCUGCAGUGUAGCCGUCGUGGCCGUAUGCUGCAGCGUGCCUUGUUGGACCUAGACUAUAACAGGGGGGUCUGUGAAGCCUUCCCUGGCAGUUGCAGGUGUGAGCAUGUAUACAGCAGUUUGAUGCUCUUGUAUGAUACUGCACACACAUGUCUUUAGAAAACAGAUUUAUCCCUUCCUUAUAUAUUUUAUGGUGGUUAAAUGAGGUUGGUUUAUUGUGCAACUCCUAGCUUAUUUCCUCAUUGCAUGUGUCAUGCUUCGUAGGCUACGCCCACAAUUUUCAACAUCUUGUAUGAAGAUUUGUCAAUUACAUAAGGGAUAAUCAAGGGGCUAUGUGUUCUGUGGAAGGCGACGUGCUAGCGGAGUGGAACUUACCUCCCAGGGAGCUGAACAUUUUUCCAGCGAACACAUAGAACCCCCGCGUUGGUUAUCCGUUUUGUACCAUGGCUAUAAUAUGGCACAUUUACCAGGAGAAAUGUGUUCCAAAUCUACUGAAUCUCGAGAGAAAAAUGUGUAAUGUUGUACUUGUUGACGAAAUUCAUGCUAAUGUUUUCGUCCACAUUGACUCCCCUUCACUCCCUGAGAGCUUUCCUUGUCCCAGAAAGCACCGCACGGCCCAUUGACGACACAUGGGCAACUUACACAAUGGCCGUUAAUACGAUUCCAAUGGAAUUUCCCCUUAUCCUCAAGUAUCUCUGACCAACCCAGCAGUCCUAUUUUGCUAUUAUGAAAAUGUUUUAAAUGUGUCUUUUACUUUCAAAAGCAGUUCAAACAGAGAACAUGGAAGAAUAAACUGUAGCCACUGAAUUCUACCGUGCUGAUGUAUUGUGCGUUAUAGGGAAAUAAUGCGCGCUCUAGAAUGCCCUUCAAGCCAAUCCGUAACGAGUAUUUAACAAUGCCAUGGUAUAAAGUAGGGGGCAUGAGAGCUACUAAAAAAAUGAAGUGUAAUUUAUUUUUAUGGCUUUCAAAUGGGCCUGUUCUUUUUGUCAAUAUAACUGGUGAAAUAAUGGUUUAUACACAACUAAGGGGGCCCCAUAAAAUGUAGUCAGGAUUUUUUGGGGUUUAAAUGUUACUCUCAGUAGGCUUAAUAUAAAUUAUAUAUUGACCAAUGAAAAAUGAUGGUCGGGGGGACUAACAAAUUAGUUUAAUUCUCUAUGCAUUAAUCAAGGGAAUGUCUGCUGCAGCACAGUUUGCUAAACAAUGGCUACCCAAUUGAGACAAAUAAUCAUAUUUUUGUCGGGUAAGCAUGCUAAUGUCAAUGUGGCGUUGAUUGGAUAGCAGCCGGGAGCUUUUUGUUUAUGACCGUCUGCGAUAGAACUCAUUAAAAAGCAUCUCUUUUCAGAAUUGUUGGAGAAAAAAAGUUUCCAACGCCAUCUGUUUGAACCCCCAGGAGGUGAUGCCCCUCUGUGCUCCUCUUCAGCCCAGUGGGUUCUGACUCAUCAGUUGAUGCACUUCCUCUCUUAUGUUAGGUUUCGUACCACUUCCUGGUUCCAACGCUUGUCCUGAUGGAGUGAAGGAGCAGAAUCAAACUAACCGUUGAUGUUUUGACUGAUGUAUAUUCAUAGAAAUAGAUUAAAUGUAAUCUAUAGUGGUGUAUUGUCAUCAGGAGAACCAUUUGUCAAAGAUUCAGUGAAGUAUGAUAUUAUCCACUUCCUCAAGGAGAAGAUGGCAAGCUAUAAGCAUGAGAAUGCUCUUGCAGGGGGCUCUGUAACGCCCAUAUCACAUUUGUAUGAAUGUAUUUCUGGAAUAUACUGUUCUCUUAGUGGCGUAAACUAAUGUGGCACGAUGUCAGAACUAAUUUAGCCUUACAUUUGUCCAUGAUUCAUCAAUAAAACUAGUAAACAAACUUG